CAGCAGCUCAGAAGAAAGAUCCAUCGGUCUUCUGGGUGGCCCCUUGUUGCGUGGAAGUGCCCGCUGACCCCUUUUACCUCUGUUUGGCCACCAACUUCUUCUCCCAAGAGUUGACCAUCGAGCGGGAGCCACCGUGGGCCUCCCCCUCCCUCUCCUUCCCGCUCUUAUUGGCCAGGAGUGUCCAAUCAGAAGGCUACAUCGCCAGCCGAGCCUACAAGGUCCCCAACGGUGGCUACCCCGUGACGUGCCGCGUCCACAACACUGGUUCUCAGACCAGUGUCCUCAAGAAUUUGACCAAGGAUGGUAGGACAUGGCGGGGGGAGAGGGUUGGGGACGUGGGGUGACCUCGUGGUGGCCACCCAUCUCCACGUCCCUCUUGGUGGCCCUGGGGGAACCCCCGUGUGAAGGUGACUUCGUGGUGGCCACCCAUCUCCACGUCCCUCUCGGUGGCCCUGGGGGAACCCCCGUGUGAAGGUGACUUCGUGGUGGCCACCCAUCCCCACGUCCCUCUCGGUGGCCCUGGGGGAACCCCCGUGUGAAGGUGACUUCGUGGUGGCCACCCAUCCCCACGUCCCUCUCGGUGGCCCUGGGGGAACCCCCGUGUGAAGGUGACUUCGUGGUGGCCACCCAUCCCCACGUCCCUCUUGGUGGCCCUGGGGGAACCACCAUGGGUGGCCCUGUUGGGACCCCAGGGGGAAGGUGACCUCAUGGUGGCCAUCCAUCCCCACGUCCCUCUUGUAGCUUGUAGGUCACAGCCGGAAACACUCGAGGUGGUCCUGGUGGAACCCCGAUGUGAAGAUGGUGGGGAUGAGGUGGAUCUGGAGCUUCUCUGCAUCUUCUGGAGCUCCGCGGUGGAGAAGAUCGAAGUGUCCUGGCUGCUGAACGGGGAGGAGAUGCCACCUCCCACCUCCACCAGUGAGGUGGAGGGUGGGAGGAGCUCGUUGAAAAUCAAGAGGUCCAGCUGGGACAAAGGGGACCUCUACACCUGCAAGGUGACCACGUCGGGGGGAAGGAACGUGGUGAUGAGGAACACCAGCAAGUGCACGGCCUGUUGGGGGGCCACCACGACCCCCAACCUCUUCAUCACUCAACCCUCCUACGCCGACCUCCUGGCCGGCCAGGCCGUGGCCACCUGCCUUCUCCUGGGGUGGCACCUCCGGGGGGCCACCCUCUCCUGGGAGGGGGACACCCUGGGGACCCCGGGACUCACCCCUCACCCCAACGGCACCCAAGGUCUUCUCCUGACCCGCCCCGUCUCCCUCAGCCAGUGGGUGGCCGGUGACACCCUCAGGUGCUUGGCCACCCUCCCCUGUCGCCCCAGCCUUCACCAGAACCUCCAACUGGGACCCAACAGUGAGUUAUGGGGGUGUACUGGGACAUACUGGGCCAUACUGGGCUGUACUGGGCCAUAUGGGACCAUACGUGGUCAUACUGGGCCCUACUGGGUUGUACUGGGCCCUACUGGGCCAUACUGGGCCGUACUGGGCUGUACUGGGAUGUACUGGGCCAUAUGGGACCAUA
rnacentral:lncRNA from 1 species